AAUAUGACGUUCCAUUUUGUUCUAUAAAGGCCCUCCCCUUUCUUCGUCACGUCCUCUUUCAAUUUGGUGUCUUCGCUGUAGAGGCACAUCUCCACAAGAUGAGAGCAAAGUGGAGGAAGAAGCGUAUGCGCAGGCUGAAGCGUAAAAGGCGAAAGAUGAGGCAGAGGUCCAAGUAGACUGGCCCAUUCCCCUACUGCUGUGAUUGUUUUUCUCCACCCACUCCAAGCCCUCUGAAGCCAGCGGUCCAUGAUUUGAAGAGCUGAACCAUGGUGGUCUGAAGCUGGCCUCGUUGGUGUGAAGGACAGAUUCUGCCUACCCAGCCCUCUACUCUGCCAAUGGCUCCUGGCCGUUGACUUCUGCUAGAAUCUCUCCUGUCAUUAAACUCUGGCCUUUUACCACCUGCACAGCUGUUGUAAAGACCAUAAUAAAUAUUUGGUUUACUAACUACA